CUCAAAAACUUGUCUCAGUUCGGAUUGUAGGCUGAAACUCGCCUACAUGAAGCUGGAGUUGCUAGUAAUCGCGAAUCAGCAUGUCGCGGUGAAUACGUUCCCGGGCCUUGUACACACCGCCCGUCACACCAUGAGAGUUGGCAAUACCCAACGUACGUGAUCUAACCCGCAAGGGAGGAAGCGUCCUAAGGUAGGGUCAGCGAUUGGGGUGAAGUCGUAACAAGGUAAC
rnacentral:rRNA from 1 species